AUUAUUUUGGCAGAAUUAGUGCAUUAAAUUUAGAAUUUAAAUAUAUAUAUAUAUAUAUAAUU
rnacentral:tRNA from 1 species